AAGGCAUGUCUAGUAUAGCAAUUAUACCGUGAAACUGCGAAUGGCUCAUUAAAUCAGUUAUCGUUUAUUUGAUAGUACCUUACUACUUGGAUACCCGUGGUAAUUCUAGAGCUAAUACAUGCUAAAAACCCCAACUUCGGGAGGGGUGUGUUUAUUAGAUAAAAAACCAACGCCCUUCGGGGCUCCUUGGUGAUUCAUGAUAACUUCUCAGAUCGCACGGCCUUGCGCCGGCGACGGUUCAUUCAAAUUUCUGCCCUAUCAACUUUCGAUGGUAAGGUAUUGGCUUACCAUGGUUUCAACGGGUAACGGGGAAUUAGGGUUCGAUUCCGGAGAGGGAGCCUGAGAAACGGCUACCACAUCCAAGGAAGGCAGCAGGCGCGCAAAUUACCCAAUCCCGACACGGGGAGGUAGUGACAAUAAAUACUGAUACAGGGCUCUUUUGGGUCUUGUAAUUGGAAUGAGUACAAUUUAAACCUCUUAACGAGGAACAAUUGGAGGGCAAGUCUGGUGCCAGCAGCCGCGGUACCAGCUCCAAUAGCGUAUAUUAAAGUUGUUGCAGUUAAAAAGCUCGUAGUUGAAUUUUUGGCCUGGCUGGCAGGUCCGCCUCACCGCGUGCACUUGUCCGGCCGGGCCUUUUCUUCUGGAGAACCGCAUGCCCUUCACUGGGCGUGUUGGGGACCAGGACUUUUACUUUGAAAAAAUUAGAGUGUUCAAAGCAGGCCUUUGCUCGAAUACGUUAGCAUGGAAUAAUAGAAUAGGACGCGCGGUCCUAUUUUGUUGGUUUCUAGGACCGCCGUAAUGAUUAAUAGGGACAGUCGGGGGCAUCAGUAUUCAAUUGUCAGAGGUGAAAUUCUUGGAUUUAUUGAAGACUAACUACUGCGAAAGCAUUUGCCAAGGAUGUUUUCAUUAAUCAGUGAACGAAAGUUAGGGGAUCGAAGACGAUCAGAUACCGUCGUAGUCUUAACCAUAAACUAUGCCGACUAGGGAUCGGGCGGUGUUAUCUAUUUGACCCGCUCGGCACCUUGCGAGAAAAUCAAAGUGUUUGGGU
rnacentral:rRNA from 1 species